rnacentral:rRNA from 1 species
UGGGGAAUUUUGGACAAUGGGCGAAAGCCUGAUCCAGCCAUGCCGCGUGAGUGAAGAAGGCCUUCGGGUUGUAAAGCUCUUUUAGUCGGAAAGAAAGAGUUGCAAUGAAUAAUUGUGAUUUACGACAGUACCGACAGAAAAAGCACCGGCUAACUACGUGCCAACAGCCGCGGUAAUACGUAGGGUGCGAGCGUUAAUCGGAAUUACUGGGCGUAAAGGGUGCGCAGGCGAUCUUGCAAGUCAGAUAUGAAAGCCCCAGGCUUAACCUGGGAAUUGCGUUUGAAACUACAAGGCUAGAGUGCAGCAAAGAGGAGUGGAAUUCCAUGUGUAGCAGUGAAAUGCGUAGAGAUGUGGAAGAACACCGAUGGCGAAGGCAGCUCCCUGGGUUGACACUAACGCUCA